GGAGCAUGUGGCUUAAUUUGACUCAACGCGGGAAAUCUUACCGGGUCCGGACACACUGAGGAUUGACAGGCAAUAUAUGUGACUCUUCGGAGUUUGCAUUGUUAAAUAUGCUAGUCCUUUCAUGAUUAUGUGAUAGGUGGUGCAUGGCCGUUCUUAGUUCGUGGAGUGAUCUGUCUGCUUAAUUGCGUUUCAAAUUACUUAUAAGGUAGCAAUACGCGAUGAAGCUUUCAAUAGUCCUCACGGAUUCACUUGAGUCUCUCGCUUCGCUAUCCUUUCAAUGCAACGAACGUGACCGCAACCUCUUGUUGCCUUCGUUUAACAUCCUGCAGUUCGCUGUGGGUACUGAGGGCUUCACUCGGUGAC
rnacentral:rRNA from 1 species